GCCUUUUACGAGGUAUCAGCACUUUUCUUUCAUUAGAAGGAAGGAGUGAGCAGAGUACCAAACAGCAGCAGAGUUUUAAAGUUUAAAUAGACAGGUCUGAGUGCCUGAACUGGCUUUCUUAUUUUACUUCGUCCACUAAGGAGUGAAAUCACUUGGCGUUCCUACUUCACUUCUUUUAAGAGAAAGAGUAAGUUUAAAAGUU
rnacentral:other from 1 species